rnacentral:hammerhead_ribozyme from 1 species
AUCCAAAUGAUGAGUCCGAAAUGGGACAAAACGCGCGUUCUGGGU